AGAGAGAAAGCUAAGUGGGGUUUAGUAAGCGUAUAGCUUCUGUUUACAUGAAAUGUUGGCGGUUUGAUAAAUAAUGUCAACGGUAUAUAGCGAUUCAUUAAGGAUACUACGUACCACUCAAACAACACAAUACAUCAAAGGGUAUCACUUUCCUUCCUCACCCUUUCACUUUCUUGAUUUCAUUCCCUUUACCCCAUCUAAACCAAACGCCCCAUAAAACUGUACGUACAUUGAGGAGAAUUUCAGUACACUACUUCCUAACCUAUAUUGCAACUUGCAAGUAAAGUUUUACAAGAACGGUUUGGCCACCAAGCUCACAUCAGACCAUCCCACAUGAGAUUUGAUUUAUUUUUAUAGAUUGCUAAAUACUGCCAUAACAAAUUAUCAAAUUGCCAUCAUUUUAAGCAAAGAGAUAUCCUUACCCUUACAAAAUUUUUUCCCUAUUUUCUUUCUCUAACUUUAGUCCAUCCACCACUUUUAAAACAACCAAGUCAACCACCACCAAUCAUGACACUGAUACGACCCACGCCACCAUGACCCUUAUUUUUUUCUUUAGGAUUAGCAGAGAGUGCGCCCUACAGUGAGAAAACAAAACACAAGCCAAACCCUAGCCUAGCCAAUGUGGUCACAAACCAGACCCUUGUCACAGAAAUGCAGUCUUCCCUUCUUCUCCUCUGCUUUUUCCACAUUCAAAACCCUGAUUAUGAUUCCAAUGAACCGUUCUCACAGAAUCACUAGAAGAACUCUUAGUAGAACCAAAAGUCAAACCUCCAUUAUCACUUCCUUCUCAAGGUCAUCAACAACAAGGUCACUCUCUCUUCCACCUUCAACAAGAGACCCCAUUGAUGGGGUUCUCACAUUGCAAGAGUGGCAGAAUUGGGGCACUAAUUCCCCUGUUCCUGCUUCUGUUAUUGAUGCCAUUCAUUACUUGAAGGCUUUGGAAACAGAAACUGAUGUUCAGAUGGAUUUUGGUGGCAAUGGUGGCCGACUCACUGGUGAAUUCAAAAUUAAAGAGGAUAAGAAGCAUAGAGCAGCCUAUAAGGCAUUGAGUGACUCAGAAAUGAAGCUUCAGUUUUUCUCAGCACGACAGAUAGCUUGUCGUUUACUUGGCAGUCGUGGAUACCUUUGUCAGAAGUGCUGGCUUCCAUAUGAAGAAGAUUGCAUGUGCUUGAAAGUCAAACCUAGCCCACUUUGGCAUGGGAUACGAUUUUGGUUGUACAUGCAUCCUAAGGAUUUUUUGCGGCAAAACAACACAGGAAAGGUGUUAUGGCAAGUGUUUGGUGUGCAGGCAGCAACAUUGUGCCUCUAUGGUAUUGCUGAACAUGAAGACAUAAUGUGGAAUGAAUUUAAGAAAGCAGGAAAAAACAUGGUGUGGUGCAUGUAUCCUAGUAAGCCUGGAAUUCCCAAGUCCGUAAAGGAUUACUUCUUAUGUGAUACGCCAAGUAUUGAAGAUAGCAAUUUGGACAAGACAAGUGGAGAUAAUAUCUUGAAUUUCAUUCUUAUAGAUGGAACAUGGAGCAAUUCUACGGCAAUGUUCAAGCGGUUAAAGGAGCGAGCAAAACUUGAGUGGGGAGAGGAUGGCAUAACUUGCAUAUCGGUUGCAACAGGUGCUUCAGCAAUGCACAGACUUAGGCCCCAACCAUCAUGGGAUCGCACUUGCACAGCAGCAGCAGCUGCUGGCCUUCUAUCUGAAUUACAGCUUAUUCCUCAAUUCAGUUCAUAUUGUCUCGAUAAACAGGGUGAAGCUAUAGAAGAUACUUUGGAUGUUUUGCUAGAGGCUCUUACUACUCGGCGCCUUCGAAUGGGCAGGUCCAUUACGCGCAAAAUGAGGAGUGGCUAUGUCUGUUAAAAUUGACUAUGCUAUUGACAGUUGUUUCCCAGAAUGUUGCAGGAAUCAUCAUUAGUCAAGGUUUAGAAAGCCAUUAACACAAAAUUUAAAUUGAGUGUUCCUAUGUGCUAAGGUGUGUAGUGGGUGUUGCAUGUUCCUAAGGCAUCCUCGGAAUUGAGAUCAAAAUUGCAACAACUCAGAAAAAUGGUGGAAGAUAUAAAUUAUUCAAUAUGAUUUUGCGGAAAAUCAUUUAAAACUAAUCUUAAUCGUAGUCUUAGUCAACUUUUAUUAUUAUAAUAAUUGAGAUUUCCUUUUUUUUUUUUUUUUUUUUUUUUUUUUUUUUGUAGUUUUUUAGUUAUUAGGUAAUUGAAUUUAUGAAUGCAAGCUUUUGCUGCUUGUAUAUGAAGUGGAGUUAAGUGUAUAUUGUACUUGUAUAAAAUAUAAUUUUCUAUCAUUAAUUGAUAAAAUGAUUGUGCUAACUAGCUGUCCAGCAUAUGCUGGAAUUUUUUUUAAGAAAAUUGGGGCAAACACUAUUUGUAACGGGUAAAUAUCCUAACGAUUACAAAUAACGGGGUUAAUUGUAACAGGCACAUGUUUUGUCUGUUCGAAUAACCUCGUUAUUUGUACUCGCUCUGUGUUUUAAUACGGAGUAAGUGUUACACUUCGACUGACACAUAGUUUUAGGUAAUUUAAUUGACUAAAAUAAAAUAAGAGAUAAGUG